rnacentral:rRNA from 1 species
CAAUACCGCGUGAGGGAGGAAGGUCUUUGGAUUGUAAACCUCUUUUCUUAGGGAAGAAGAUCUGACGGUACCUAAGGAAUAAGCAUCGGCUAACUCCGUGCCAGCAGCCGCGGUAAUACGGAGGAUGCGAGCGUUAUCCGGAAUUAUUGGGCGUAAAGCGUCCGUAGGUGGUCUAGCAAGUCUGCUGUCAAAGAGUGGGGCUUAACCCCAUACCGGCGGUGGAAACUGCGAGACUAGAGUACAGUAGGGGUAGCGGGAAUUCCCAGUGUAGCGGUGAAAUGCGUAGAUAUUGGGAAGAACAUCGGUGGCGAAAGCGCGCUACUGGGCUGAAACUGACACUGAGGGACGAAAGCUAGGGUAGCGAAAGGGAUUAGAUACCCCUGUA